CCUCACAAUACAUGGUAGGAGAGCAGCAGGGGUGGCCACAGUUCCCCUGGGACAGAACUCAGUGAUCCCAGCUUCUCUUUCAGAAAAGACCUACUUUGUGUUGGAAGUACAGAGACCCUGAAGCAUCAAUGGAAGGAAGGGAGGAUCCACAUUCUCCUCCUCCAGGAAUCAAAGACCUGGAGAUCGAGAAUUUAUCUCAACACAGGCUAGUUCAAUCCUGGAUGAAUCCCAGAGCUGGAGAGACAUGUUCCCAUUUGCCCUGCAGUGAAUAGGCUGCGGAACUUUGCCUGAAGGCCUGGACCACCCUUGACGCUGUAAAAUCUGUCCCUCAUUUGGAUGAUGGUAGUAGCCUUGUUAUUUCUUUGCAAGCUGCCCUCUAAAGUCUGCUGGGUGAUCUUUCUAAGACCCAGCUUUCAUUUUCCUGCUUUUUCUAUGACCAUAGUGUGAUCCUUAAACCUAUCAAGUGCAUCCAAAAUUCCUUUCUUUUAUUAAUAAAUGUUUGCGAGCACUUGUUUGUCAA